CUGAGGGAUGGGGUGCUUGCCUAAUGUGUGUAUGGCCCUGGGGUCAAGCCCUGGUACUGAAGUACUGAAAGAAAAAUUUAUUAUUAAAAAAAAAUGCCAAAGAAAAUGAAAACGAAAACCGUGAUGUACUCAUCCGCCAGAAUGGCUGAGAUGAUGAUGAUCAGCCCCGAGUUCUGAGAUGUGGAGUAACUGAAACUCCCACACAUUGCUGUAAACGUUAACAUGGUUUAGGUAUUUUCAAAAGCCUGACAGCUUCUAGAGUUACACACACACACACCUACCUGUUACGGUGAAUUUUAGGUGUCAGGCUGACUGGGCUACAAGAAUCUCACAGAGAGCUAGAAGGAGUAAGUUUGAGGAGUGUCUUGAAUGAGUGUUUCUAGGAGAGAGCAACAAGUAAGGUUGCCUUGGCACUGCCGGCGGGCCUCAGUGUGGUGAGAAUGGACCCCGCUGGGUAGGACUAUUUGGGAAGGAUUGGGAGGUGUGACUUUGUGGGAGGAGGGGUGUCACUGGGGGUCAGGCUUCCACCUCCUACGGUGAUCGUGAUCAAGAUGAGAGUUCUCAGCUGCUCCUGCUGCCACGCCUUUCCCUCCCUUCCCCCCACCAUCAUGGGCUCUAACCUCUAGAACUGUAAGCCAAUUAGGCAUUUCCUUUUAUAAGUCACCUUGCUUAUGGUGCCUUAUCACAGUGAUAGAAAAGUAACUAAGAGACUCGACCAACAGGCUGAUGGUCUGAAUAGAACACGAGGGAAGAGGAACCUUGUCUCCAGUCUGAGUUGAGAUAGCCACCUUUUCCUGUCCUGGACAGCGGAGUUUCUGGUUCUUGGGCUCCCAGUUGUGAACUGAAUUACAUCACCACGUCCUGGCUCUCCAGCUUGGGGAUGGCUGAUCAGAGGACUUCUAGACUACAGGGUAUGGGCCAGGGUCUUAUGCCUGUGCCUAUCUCUGGCUUUUGCUAACUAACUUUCCAUCCAUCCAUCCACUUACCCAGCUGCCUCGGCACCUGCUGUCUUCUCCUGUCUGGUCCUGUGGGAAAUGCUGACUUAUUUGCUACUCUGUGACCCAGCAAUGUCACCAGCACCCCAAAGAAGUGAAGGCAUCUAUCAUACCGAUAGCUCCAACCAACUGCUCACCAGUUUUUCAAGCAAUCCAGACUGGAAUGGUGUUACGUGAUUUGUACAUUCCCCCAGCGACUGCUUAUCUGUCUUUCCCUUUGUUUCCCUUUGUUUGCUACUGUCUUUUCAAGAAAAGCUCCCAGCAGGCUAAAGCCUAAUUUAUCACACUUUCCCGUUAUGAAUCAUUUUUAGAUGUCAUGUUUAAGAAAUCUUCAGCUGUGACAAGUUUUCCCAUGUUUUCUGCUAGAGCUGUUUUAGUUAUUAAAAGAAUGACCACAGGACAUUAGAUUCUAAGGAUCCUACUGUGUUCCCCAGGUGAGACAGUCCUUAACAUCUCCUUUUGCUUCCUCGGGGGUCCUGGUCUGUUACCAUAUUUGCCACCCUGCCCAGACGACAUAGCUGGUCAGUAUGAGAACAGUAUUCGAAGCAGGACACUCAGAACUGCAGGAAUCAUAAGGUCAAAGAUUUCACAGUUAGCAUCUAAAGGCAAUGUUGCUGAGGAUUAAAAAAGUAUUCUUGGCCCCUUAAUCAUGCAAAAAAUAUUUCAGAUCCGGCCACAUAUCCCAACAGGAAAUGGGGUCCACUUCCCACUGGAAUCUGGCAUGGCUCAUUACUUACUGUGGACAUAGGAGGAUACAGCUGAAGUGACAGUGCAUAUGUCUUAAACCAAAGUCACCACCGUGAGAGAAAGCCUCGGCUGGCCUCUGGGAGAAGACACUCUGGCAGACAGCUGAAAGACUAGACCACAGCUGAUCAGAGCCUGGCAGCCUCCUUUCACUGACUACAGAAGCUCAAGAGGAUCCAGCAAGGCUGAGCCCAGCCUUUGCCGUUGGCCUAUGGAAUUCUGGGAUCAAAACUAGUGAUGGUCUGAAGGCUUUAGGAUCAUCUGUUUUCUAUCAGUUACUAACCAGUAACUAGUCUGCCUUUCACAGCCGAAGGACUUUAUAAGCUAAGCACUCUGGUUUGGAAGACAGAACCGACUUUAGGUCCCGUGACUUUGGACAAUGUGUUUGAUCAACUCGAAAUUCUAAGUGCAUCAUGCAUAUGCCUGGUGCCUGCAGGGGUCAGAAGAGGGUGCUAUGUUCCUCAAGACUGGGGUUAGGACAACUGUACCCCACUUUGUGGGUGCCGGGUACUGAACCCCAGUCCUCUGCAAGAGCAACGAGCGCUCUUAGCUGCUCAGCCAUCUCCCCAGCCCUUACUUCAUGUGUGUGUGUUUUUGCCUGCAUGUAUGUCUAUGCACCAUGUGCAUGCAAUGCCCAAAAGGCCUCUGGACUUCCUGAAACUGGAGUUACAGAAGUGAGCCUCCAUGUGGGGGCUGGGAAUCAAAUCCAGGCCCUCGGGAAGGGCAGUCAGUGCUCUUAGCCACCGAGCCGCCUCUCCAGUCCCUUGGCAGUGUUUUUGAGCUAUUACUCAAGGUUCCUCCUGUGGACUGCUGCUGCGGUUUGGAUACGGUGUGAUCCUCUGAAACUCCUGUUGAAAGUUGAUUGCUUCUGGAGGCGGUCACUAGGCUAGGGAGUCUAGAGAGCACAAUGCCUUUCUCCCCGAGCUGGACUAUUUCCCGUGAGAAGGGCUGUUUUAAGCAAGGCUGCCCUUGUGUUUUCCACUUUCUGUAGUGCCUGGUUCCCUGUCUACUUUUCUACCGUGCUCGAGUGAGUCUUUCGCCAGAUGCAGCCACCUAAUUUUGGACUUCCUGCUGCUGGAGCCUGUGAAGUAAAUAACUUCAUUUCUUGAUAAAUCAUCCAACCUCUGGUAUCUAUUAUAACAACAUAAAAAGGACUCUGACAAAUAAGCACGACAAUUGUGUUCAUGGAUUUUUGUUGAGAUAAAUGAAAUCCUGAACGUGAAGUAAUUAAUACUGUGCCUGGCACACAGUAACUUUCUGUAUGUGGAGUGUGUUACUGUCAUCAUAAACAAUACUCAUGAUUGUCAAGGUUGUCACCAUAUACCCAUUUUGCAGGCAUGGAGACUGAGACUCAGACAGUUUUUGAUACUAUCCAAAGGCCUUCAGAAGCUGCAUCUUCGGGGAGAGUCUUGGGAUCUGUGGAUGUAGCAUGACUCCAGUGAGCCCAGGCAUGCUGAGGUCUAGCUAGGAUGAGGGAGGAAAGCCUAUCUCCCCCCCUCCCCGGGGACAACAGUGAUAAAAGGAGCCAGUGGCCUCUCAGGAACUGAGCCUGAGAACAGGUGAACAAGGAACAGAGAGGGUUAAGGUGCCUCUUAACCCUUAUCCAGUCUUCUAUCCGACACUGGGAGGGCUGGGAGGGUGGCGGGGAGGAGGGGCAACAGGUGUGGUCCCCAGGCUCAGUCCUGUUUGGCCUCCACAACUGGUCAUCAGCAGUGAGCCCCGAAGGACACGGUGUUUAGACAUUCUGUCUGACCCAGUCCAGACCAAGCCAGAACAACGAAUCAAGAAUAAAUAGCACUUGGACUCUAUGUUCUUCGGGAAGUCACAAGUCCAUCCUAAUUCUUACCUCCCAUAUUAUACACACGCACACAUGUUAUGUAGGACUUCAUCUUCCUCCCCAGCUCCCCCCUACUCGCCACACCCUUUUCUCCUUUACACUUUAUCUGUAUGCGUGAAUGCAGGUACACACACUCACAUAUGCACACAAACCGUCAAUCUUUUAUUAGUGUAACAUUUAGACUCAAGGUUUUCAGUGAACAUUUUCUACAUAUUACCAACUAUCUAAUAUAUGUCUUAU